UACGUAGGGGGCAAGCGUUAUCCGGAUUUACUGGGUGUAAAGGGGGCGCAGACGGCGAUGCAAACCAGGAGUGAAAGCCCGGGGCCCAACCCCGGGACUGCUCUUGGAACUGCGUGGCUGGAGUGCAGGAGGGGCAGGCGGAAUUCCUGGUGUAGCGGUGAAAUGCGUAGAUAUCAGGAGGAACACCGGUGGCGAAGGCGGCCUGCUGGACUGCAACUGACGUUGAGGCCCGAAAGCGUGGGGAGCAAACAGG
rnacentral:rRNA from 1 species